GAGUUUGAUCAUGGCUCAGGAUGAACGCUAGCGGAAGGCCUAAUACAUGCAAGUCGAGGGGUAACAGGGGAGCUUGCUCCCGCUGACGACCGGCGCACGGGUGAGUAACGCGUACGUAACCUGCCUUCAAGAGAGGGAUAGCCCCGGGAAACUGGGAUUAAUACCUCAUGGUAUCAUAAAGCCGCAUGGUUUAAUGAUUAAAGCUCCGGCGCUUGAAGAUGGGCGUGCGUUCUAUUAGAUAGUUGGUGAGGUAACGGCUCACCAAGUCAGCGAUAGAUAGGGGGCGUGAGAGCGUGGUCCCCCACACGGGUACUGAGACACGGACCCGACUCCUACGGGAGGCAGCAGUAAGGAAUAUUGGACAAUGGGCGCAAGCCUGAUCCAGCCAUUCCGCGUGCAGGAUGACGGCCCUCUGGGUUGUAAACUGCUUUUAUUUGGGAAGAAACCCUGGGAUUUAUCCCGGGCUGACGGUACCAAAAGAAUAAGCACCGGCUAAUUCCGUGCCAGCAGCCGCGGUAAUACGGAAGGUGCAAGCGUUAUCCGGAAUCACUGGGUUUAAAGGGUGCGUAGGCGGUUACGUCAGCCAGAAGUGAAAGCUCACAGCUUAACUGUGGAAUUGCUUUUGAUACUGCGUAACUAGAA
rnacentral:rRNA from 1 species